rnacentral:rRNA from 1 species
GACGAACGCUGGCGGAAUGCUUUACACAUGCAAGUCGAACGGCAGCACGGGUGCUUGCACCUGGUGGCGAGUGGCGAACGGGUGAGUAAUAUAUCGGAACGUAUCCAAUAAUGGGGGAUAACUAGCCGAAAGGUUAGCUAAUACCGCAUACGCCCUGAGGGGGAAAGCUGGGGAUCGUAAGACCUAGCGUUGAUGGAGCGGCCGAUAUCUGAUUAGCUAGUUGGUGGGGUAAGAGCCUACCAAGGCGACGAUCAGUAGCUGGUCUGAGAGGACGACCAGCCACACUGGAACUGAGACACGGUCCAGACUCCUACGGGAGGCAGCAGUGGGGAAUUUUGGACAAUGGGGGCAACCCUGAUCCAGCCAUUCCGCGUGAGUGAAGAAGGCCUUCGGGUUGUAAAGCUCUUUCGCAAGGGAAGAAAACUCGAUCUCUAAUAUAGGUUGAGGCUGACGGUACCUCGAUAAGAAGCACCGGCUAACUACGUGCCAGCAGCCGCAGUAA